UUGCGUUAAAUUUCUUUCCCUUGUAAGUUCCUUCUUUCUGUAAAGUCACAAGAUAAAGAGAUGCUAUGUGAAAUACACUUUUAAGAUGCACCAGCAAUUAAAAGUAAUAACAAUAUUUUGAACAUGUUUGUGAAAUACACUUUUAAGAUGCACCAGCAAUUAAAAGUAAUAACAAUAUUUUGAAAGCAAACAAAAGUUUACAAGAAGGCUGCAUCAAUUCUUUAGCAAGUUUUUGAGCUUAUGAUAAAGGAUCUAUAUGAAAUAAUCUAUACCCAUGUCUUACCCUUUUGACACUCACAGGUCAAAGCAAAUGAAGAAUCCAUUUAACAUAACCUUGUAAUUGGGAGGAGAUAACAAGCAGCUUUAAGAUUCAGAAUUCCUGGGUAAAACAUUACGAAGAAGAGCUGUAUUUCAUGAAUAAGAAAAGAGCAAAACUUGAUUGAAUUUUCAAAGGUCUAAACAUAUUAUUCUCCCCACUCCAAACUUGCAGAUAUGUGGUCCAUAAUUAUCUCUGCACAAAUUGUAUCGUUGUAUUAAAGGAAAUUAUUCUUGUAACUUUCUGUCAAACAAAUUUGCAACGAAAUGUGACACAACAGCAAUGUAGAUGUCAGUAAGCCAUACUUACAAGCAGAAGAACUUAUAUUAGUAAAACAACUCACAUAUUCUUUCUCAAAAUUUCUUUCCUGUUUAGAGAUGGGACGUCUCAUUUAUUUGUCCUUAUGGUUCCGACCAGUCAUUGGUGUCAGAAGAGAACAACCAUUCAAAAUAUUACAUGCAAUGUUUUAGGUUGCAGAAUAGAGGAAUAUAGAGG
rnacentral:lncRNA from 1 species